GGUAGUUGAUAGGUAAACAUUUCGCCAUUGUAAAAAGAUCUGUAGUUCGAGGAUAAUGAUUCAUUUGGUGCUAAAAUUAAGUUGACUAGUGCGGUGCCAAUAACACUGGAAAGCCAGAAAAUUUGUGAAUCCAGUAUAUAAAAUAUCUGCAAAGAAUUCCGGUGACCUAAAAACCGAUCAGGAACCAAAUUACCAUUCCCGAUAGUUCCAAUCGAAAUAGAUAUCCUGCUCGAAGAGUCUGGUGAUGAUCAUUGUCGCUUCCUGGCGCGAUGGAAGUGUUUCGGUACCUGCCUGCUACUGUGCCAGUCCUGAUUUCUGAAGGAUGGGAUCGCAAAUCGUGUACUGUCUCUUGCGAUGAUCGUGAUCUACAACAAAGCUGACGAAACGUCGAGGUGGAGAGGUAGUCGUAUCGAGAAUUCACUAUACAUUAACUUCAUCUCGUAUAAUGCCCAAAAAAAAUGAUUGAAAAUAUGGACUAAAUUACUAAAGGAAUUUCUCAGACAAAACGUAACGGAAAAAUAAGGCUAAUUUUUCAAGGAAUUUCGGCAUGGCUAUCUUUUCUUCAGAUGAAUGGCUAAGAAUAUGUAACAAAAUCGACCAUAUUGUUUUAUUCCAGUAAUAAAUGCUCUCUUUCAUUUUGA